UGUGUCUUGUAGCAAGUAACAUUGCUGGUAAUAGAUCUAUGUAUGUAUAUGGACAAUUUUUUUCCAGUAUUUUUACUUACAAGUUUUGUUAGGGUGAAGGAUAAACAUAGCAAGGUUGUUCUGUAUGGCAAGGUCUUCCUGUCUUAGGAAAGAUGGAGCACUCAUCUGCCAAGAAUUAUCUGUAGAGAGAGAAAUUUAUCAUGUCUUUUAUUUUUGAGUGUGAAUUGUACACAUGGGUCAAGCAUGGAUUCAGCCAUUAGCAGACUUUAAGGAAACCCUGAUGUCUUGGCAAACCAUUUUGGUUGGCUGGCUAGUUUUGAUUCAGUGUCAGCAUGCAGAAGAUAUUGAGAUGGGAAGGCAAUGCCCUAAGGCAACUUUAGCUUUGGGUGACUUGUAGCCAAUCUUUUACAGCAGUGGUGCAGCUGGGUCUGUGGAGAGCGGAAGCAGUGGCUGCUACACCUGCCCUGUGCUGAGUUUGAUCCUGUCCACUGAGACCUUCUCAUGUGCAAACCAUGGAAACUUGAACUCCGGGCAAAUGCCACGACAUUACAUUCAGAGUCUUGGUGGUAAAGUAAGUAACACUACUUCAGACUUUGCUAGGUAGUCCCCUGUUCCUGACUGCAAGCAAGCAGCUGCUUUACUCAGAGAAUAAAUAUCAGAGGCCAUCAAUAUGAAUGAUGCUUUGUUGUUUACACUUGGAGUGAGUUUUUCCCUACUACCAUGGUCUUUGAAAUUGUAUUCUCCUUUGUCUACUUUGAGAUUCCUAAAUAAAACAGGCAAAGGGAGGAGCUGCCAGCUGAUUCUCCUGUGGUGCACAGUACUCUUUGCUGUGCUGAACUUGUCUGAACUGGUUUGGAGCUUACCUUUUUUUUAGCAGACUUGUCCAAAAUCUUAUGUCAAUAAUAAGAGAGCAACACAGUAAAUAAGUAGGUACUUGACUAGAAAGUGCAGCUACUGACCUGCAUGCUAGGGAUGAUUUUACAUUUCCCAGCAUGCAUCCAUUUUGAAAGUUAUUAAGGGGGAUUUGGACUUCCAGGCCACUGCAGUAUAAUCACUGAGCAGUUAUUUGCUGGAGGCAAUCACCAUUAUUAUGGCCCUUACUCCACAUCUUUUGAAGGCACUGAAGGGUUGAUAUUGAUUUUUGAGUAGCAUUUAUAAGGGGCCUGUGCACUUGAGAGUAACUGGACCGUAUCAUUAGACUACCUAGGGGAUUUUCCAUCAACUAUAUUUCUAAAGGUAAUACUAGUAGAACUCUUAACCUCUGAAUCAGAAGAUGGAUGUAUAAGAGAUAUUAGUAUUUUAAAGGAAAGGACUUGAAGAAAACAGCUGCUAAAAGACUGUUUGGAGUUAUGGAUCACAAGCUAACUCUUGAUUGAUGAAGGCAGCAUAGUAACAGUUUUCUAAUUAAUUAAUCUGAUUGUUCUCAAGAGUGUUUGAAUCAGUGAUUAGGAAAAUGUAUUUCUUGUCAUCAAAACAAAGGGAACCCUAAGAAAAAUAAGACUGUAGCAGGUGCUUGGCCCCACUCAUUGCAUCAGUGGCAGCUGAUAAUGUAGUGUGUGAUUCCCAGCCAAUGGAGUGACUCACCCAACCUUCUCCUGUGACAUGGUCCCUCUUCUGCUCUGUCAGUAUUUUAGGUAUUCCCAGCUCUGCUCUGAAGCUCCCUGGCUCUGACAAUACUGGCCCUCGGGAGAGGUGGCUACAGGUGCAAUGUGACCCCAGUCCAAGAGCAAAGCUGCAGCUGCUGGGGGACAAUGGACACUGGUUUGUGCUAGGCUUUAGAUUAACACAUCUGAAUGAGUUGCAGAAAUCCCGUAAUUUCGUAACAGGAUUUUAUAGCCAGGUAAGAUUAAGAUAACUGAGAUUUAGGUAAGAUUACAGUAAAUUUCACUUCUAGUUAGCUGAGGACAGAUGGCACCUCAGCCAGAGAGUCUGUCACUAUUUUUUAAGAAAAAACCCAGAUUUCACAACCAAGUUACAAAUAAAAUUUUAACAGCUUAACUUGGAAACAAUAUCUGUCACACAAUGACUAAAGUUUAUUUACUGCAAGAAGCUAAAAUUAAAUAAAAAUAAAUUUGACUUUUUUUACUAAAUUUCUCUUUUUAAAAAAUAGGCACACAACUUGUCUUUUGCCUUUGAUUAGUUUUAAUCUCAGGUUCUCAUGCAACCUAAUUUACUGUUGCGAUAAAUAGAAUCCCAACAGGAAAGCUAUUCUUUUAAAAAAGAAAGUACAUAUUCCCAGGGUUUUACACUUAUAAUCAAGCAAAAACAUGUGGAAAUUAGUCUUCAGAUUUUUCUUUCUUAUUGCAGUCUGGUAGUUAUCUUGGCCACUCUCUGAGCUAGUGAAUUUACCCACAUAUCAAUUCUGCAUUACUAUAAUUGCUACUGACAAAAUGCCGAUGAAUUACUUGUCCAAAUUUGUGACAUUUUUUAAGAAGUGAGGAAUAUGAACUCAGGAAAGGCACCACAUUUUUCUGUUUAUUAGAUUGAAUAUGUCCUUUGAAAGCACACGGAGUUUUACCAGAAGUUUGGCUUUAAGAAGUCAAAAGGCUUUUGAAAAUAUUUGCUUAAACCACAAAACUUUGCAUGUUUUUCCCUUGUAAAUAAAGGAUAAUGUAAUGCAGAAGAUUAAUAUUUAAACUUUGCAUACAAAUAUGCAUGAAUGCCAAUUGGAUUCAAUUUUCCUGACUUAAUUUGAAUUAGCUGAUGGGUCUUUUGACACAAGCUGUACUAAUUGUUGCUUAUUUGGGUGCACUAUAUCAGUGAGCAUGGCAAUCAAAAGCUCAGCCAGAUGUUCAUAUUUUCUUUGAUUGCCCACAGCCUUAGAUUUGAAGAAAAGUCAAUCAGCAAAAUGAUUCUUCUUAGCAUCUGUCAAGGUACUGAUCACAUUACCAUAAUGGGUGCCAGAAAAGCAGAAUGGCUCUGAUUCCCUUUCACUUAACCUGGUAUCAGCCUUCAGCUCUCUGCAGUCUUGAUUUGAUACCAUCACAAAACAUGGAAGUUCUGUGAAAUUAGACCAAGGGUAUUUAUAUGUGGUUGAGUUCAUGGCAGUGAAGAGUGACUGUAUUUUUAUCUUCGUAUAAACUUACAUUUAUGUGAGUAACUUCUAUUAAAUAAUAUUUUGCAUGUUUUAUACUGGCAUGUGUUGACAAUGUCUUAUUGACUGAAAGGUUAUUUUUUUUCCAAGUAUAAAAGCUUUUAAGGAGUUGAAAAACUAAAUGUAUUACACCUAUGUACAGGAAGUCUGAGCCUACUGAAAAAAAUUAUUUUGAUUUGCUUUAAAACUUUUGGACACUUGUAAGAUACAUAAUCUAUAUUUACAGCUCAAGCUUUUUUUUUUUUUUUUUUUUUCAAUUUGUUAGUAUUUGCAUGAAAGCAUUAGAGAAAAAUAAUAUUUUGUUGGUUUGGUUUUUUCCAAGUGUUCUAAAAGCAUCUGCCAGAGAAAGAAUUUGCAUUUAUUUUCAGAUGGGAUACAGAUCAAGGCUGUCUUAACCUUUCUCUCCUUUUAUCCCUAGGUGUUUAAAAUGUGUCUUCGCAUUUUCUGCAUAACUGGAUCCUAGCUCAUUAAGGAUCUCCUGUGCUUUCCAGUGUCCCAGCAAAAUGUGGCUGCUCCAGAAGAACAGAGAUCCUGCAGAGGAGGCAGUACCAGGAAUGUCUGAGAGAGAGGUUCAUCAUGUCAGGGUAAUGCAAGAUAAGAAUUCUUACUUACUGGAGGACCAGGUGGACCAGAGAGAAAAAACCAAAUCGUGCAGCCCUUCAUGAGGCCAAGCUGGUUGAACAAUGUCAUGAACUUGGGACAUUAGAAGAAAUAUCCUUGUUAAUAAUGCAGUCAAGCAGGAGUGCAUCGUGUUUUGUGUGUCUUGUGCAAUUCUGGGGAAAAAAGAUUGAAAACACCAGAAUGCUGCUGUUCCCAAGAGGUGAGCUGAUGCUCAGAGCCACAUCCUGAGAAAGAAGCACUGCAGUGAAGAAACAAGCACUGCCAGCUUGCCACAAUGACAUCAGUUUGGGCUCAGUACCCUCUGGUCUCAAAGGACAGUGAGGGAGACAAAGGAUAUUUCUCCAUCAAACCAAAUAUUAUAUUGUAUUAUUCUAGUACAUUCUUCACAUCCCAGAGCACUGGUAAGUGAUUUAAUUGAUGGGUAUGUAGGAAAAAAAAUGAAACACCUGAAGAUUCUUUUAAAAGGCUGUUUUAGUUAGAAAAAGGGAAAUACUGCUUCAUGUUCUGAAAAGUUAAAAAUAAAGCUUUCUGAAAAACUACCAGUACUGACAUUCCUAGUGAUGUCUUUUCUAGGAUUCACUGACAUUGGUGUUUCUUUGAACAUGUGUGAUACUCUGUGACAAAUCAUGAAAUACUCAAGAGCAAUCUACAUAGUUUCUCAAUAAGCAAUUUAUAUAUUGGCCUGGAAUAUAUUUCUAUUUUGUUUCCUCCAUCUUAUGCUUCACUCAGAAUCUUCUUUCCCAUUCCAAAGUUCAGGAAAAAAUUAAUGUUAAAUCUGUAACAUUACAGCAAAAGGCUUUUAGGCUUACGUAGGUGAUGUGGUUGAAGUCAUGUAACUUGAUAAAAUAAACAUAAACAUUUUAAGACUCUCUUUUGAACUUUUUGCUUGCUCAGCACUAUAUAAUAGUUUACUCUGUUGCUUCAAAUAAAUCACUGAAAAAAAAAGCACCUAUAUCUCUUCAUACCUCAUCCUUCCUUUAAGAACAAGGAGGAGAAAUCUGGCAUGUUCCUUGGGUAAAAUAUGAAAGUAACCAA